GUACGAAGCCCCCUUUCAGUGAAAAUUGAAAAUAUCAGAAACUUCCAAUGGAGAAGAGAAGAUGCAUAGCAGUAAGGAUGCACACAAAUGAAUUUUUCACUUUUCUUCGUAAGUGUUUUUCACUUUUUAAUGUUUUUUUUUGUGUGUAGAUAAACUUUUUUUUACUAAUUGUAAUGAGAAUCAUGUAAAUCGACAAUUUUAUUUGUUGCUAUUCAUAGAUUUUGAGAUCAUCAGCAAAUCAAACACAAGGUUUAGUCUGAUGAAUGCUUGAAAUUGAGCAACUUCAAGUAGCUGAUUUUGGUUUAGUGACUAAUUACUGAUUAAGUUGGGAUAAUUUUGAUUAAAUACUUAAAAUUGGGGCCAUAAACUGAUUUUCUAAGAAAUAUGGCUUCAAUUAGUGAAAAAAUUAGAGAUAAUUUGGGAUAAUUUUGUUUAACAAUCGUACUAUCUCAAAAAGAAAAAAAUUGUUCAAUGGUGGUUAAAUGAAUAUUAGUACUGAUUCCGAUUCUGAUGAUGCAUGGAGAUAACCUGAGGUGAACUAUUGCAGGCAUUUAGUGCAAUAACAAAUCAAUUCUAUGUAUAAUAACCAGCUUAAUUAAAGAGAUAACCAGCUUAGUACUUUUUUCAAACUCUCUGUAAGCUGUUAAAAUUGUCUCCAUGGACGCUACUAAAUUAAGUAUGAGCAAAAAAGAUAGUAAUACUUUUUCGUCUUCUAAAUAUAAAAUGAUAUACAACACAAAGUUAGUUUCUAUGUUUGGCUUUUUGUGAGUUCUUAGUUUUGGAAUUAGUAGCAGAGAAUAAUUUGCAUAUUUUCAUUUCAAAACUUGCAUAUAGAAGAUCAAAAUAUCUGACUUUUGCCGUGUUGCACUUGGUUUUAAGCCAAAAUGAUUAAAAAUAAGCCAAAAGUCAUAAGUUAAAGUUAGAAAUCCAAACUUUUCACUUUUGGCUUAUAAGCGAAAAAACAAGAGCCAAUCCGGACAAUCUCUGUACUAUUUGUGAGAUAACUAUUUGUUACUGAGAUAAUUUGAUUUCAAGUAAUGGUAACAGCCCUUAACCCAUACUAAACUAAUUUAAAUACUAAUUAGGAAGUUAUUGAUAUUUCAUUCGUAUGAAAUAUUAUUUUAAAUGUUGCCAGCAAUUGAUAUUUCAUUAGUAUGAAAUCUUAUUUUAAACGUUGCCAGCAAUUGAUAUAUCAUUAGUAUGAAAUCUUAUUUUAAAAGAUUGUCAGCAACAAUCUUGUUUUCGACAUUGAAAUAAGUUUGAGAAAUUUUCAAUUUGCAUAUGAAACCCCUUGCACUGCCCCGUUUAUAGUAUUUCGAAAAUAUAUUUUGACCCACCCUGCCCUGCCCCACACAGCACUCUCCUGUCCCACCCCGCCUGUGUCCUGCCCCAUUGCCACCCUAGCGAUAAUUUCAAGUUAGUUUGUAGAAGGUUUGAAAUGAGUGGAUCGUAUCAGAGGGAAAACAGCUUGUGUAUCUGAACAUUAGUGAGAUCAUAUGCGAGCAUUAAAUGAGUCAUGGAACUUGAGUUUUGACGCCAUGCUUCCAUGUCAGCUUACAAAGGAAACUUCUACAUACAAAACCAGAAAGAAUACACGAAAAAUGAUAAUAUUAAUGUCAGAGCAGUUGUUAUGCUGGCUAUUCCUGCGAUAUAUUUACAAAAUGUAUUGUUGGAAGGUGAUUUUGGCUGUAUAUGGCUGCAGUUGUAAAUCAAUAUACUGUUCUUUGCUGGUCUAAUUAGUUUGAGGUUAUAACUAAUUCUUGUGUCAAUUACCAUCAAAACUUUACCUUGUGUGAGAGCACAUGCUCCCCAUAAGUGUGUCUACCGGUGAUGAAUGUGGCUUAAGUUCUAAACUUGUGUUAUGACUGAUAUUUGGCUUAAGCUGGACUUGAUAUGUUGAAUGUUAGAACUUCUUUCCAGUUUGGAAAUCAUUUGACUUUUCCAGUCGCUGGCUUCAAUCUGUCAAGUCGCGAUUUUGCUAAUGAGAUAAAUCAUUGGAUCUAUUGCAGAUCCUGAUGAUGCAUUUUUAUUUUGUUGGUCGUGCAAAAAUUUAUUGAUCUUUGGAAAAUAAGUGGGAAAUCUUAGAUAAGAUGAAAUGACUAGUAAAGUUGUUCAAAAUUUAUUUUUUACAGUGAGGCCUCUUAGCGUAAACAAAGAGGUGCUAUUAUUGUUUUUAUAAAAAUAAAAAAAAUAAAAAAAAAUAAAUAAAAGAAAUAAAGAAGAGCCUCUCACCAGUAGUAUCCGAACAAAGUACAUAGAAAACUGGCUACUGGUUAUAUGCCUUCUCAUUUUAACAAGUGUAAACACAGAUCGUCCGAAAUGGAGUCGGAAGAGUGUAAAAAUGAGAACUCCAGUAUUGCCUGCUCUGUUGUCUGUGGACUAUAAUCAUCAUGGAUUUAUUUUUAAUUUGUCUAUGUACUUUUCUUUCACAAUAUCUUCUCCAGAAAUGAAGUCAAGGAAAUCACUGAAACUUCCUUCUUUGUAGGACAAGAUAUUUUGUUCGUUAACAAGCGCUGAUGCAGGUCUAACUUUUUUACCUAAAGCUAGACUAUGAAGGCUGACAAUUGAAAUGCGCCUUUUCUCCGUGUUAACUGUUACUCGGUGGACAACACUUUUGUAUAUCCCAUUGCUCAAUACUUCCAUGUGAUCUCCCAGCAGAACGACGAGAGCUCCUUUAAUGAGUGGAACUGAAUGCCACUUUUCACCUCGGUCCAUGAUUUGCAAACCCUGAUGAUUUUGUAGAAUGGUGGAUACCAUACCAUAAUCUGUGUGUGGUGGCAACCCUAGUGUAAGAUCUGGCUCAGGACAUGCUGGAUAGCAAUUAACUGCCAUGACCUGGGAGCCUUCUGCAAUGUCUUCAUGUAAGUAAUUAUCGUUUAGUCCUAAGCUCUCAAAUAUCACUUGCAUGAGUUCUUCUUGCAACUUUUGUGCUGCCGUGGUGUAGUUUCCCAUAUUCUUCCUGCAUGACGAAUCACUUUAGGAUCUUGAAGAAAUUAUAGCAUUCUUAAACAGUAGGAAUAUGCAUCUAUAAAGACAAACUUAUCUGCUAAGCAUAUUCAGCAAAGGAAUGAAAGACUUACUUGUAACAUGUGGGAUUUGAUGGCCACAAGUCCAUCCAAGUUGAGGUUGGAUUAGCGUAGUGCUUGAGGAAGUCUCUCCAAAAGUGUACUUUGUCUUUGACAUGAUUUAGACUGGUACCAUAUCUUACGGGGUCAUAAACAUUUGAAGAUAAAAGAUGCCUUUUAUCUUGAGGUGGUAAAUCGAAGAAUUCUCUCGCAGCUUCUAUGGCGUCGUCCAUGACUGACAAUGGGAUUCCAUGGUUAACUACCUGCAAAGUCAUUUAUCACAUGCAUGGUGUUAUUUUACGUUCAGGGUGAAUUUGUGAAAAGCCGUCAUAUUUCCCUUCCUGGUAGACAACCUAAGUAUGUCAAAAUCUAGGAAGUCUGUUUUAACUGAUCAGCUGAAAAUAAAAGGUAGAGAGAAGACAAAUGGAAGUGAAGCUUAGAACUCUAAUGCACCAUGUGUAUAACAUGAAGUUCUUUCUUAUUCUUGAUUUCCAUAUGCCUUUUCUAUACGUGGAUGAUCUCACGAUAUCUUUUUCCUUACUUGGUGCAUGCAUAUUCUUCUUAUUUGGAUCCCUAUCGCUAGGAACUUUAUGUAUGCUGAAGCAAGUAAAUAGGAUAAAAUUAUCUUAUUCUAGCGAGUGAACGAUUGCAGGUGACAUGGACACUUGACGACAAGUAGUACCUGGAAGAAACCAAGUUCCUUGCAAGCCAGGUGUACAUCGUAGAUUAGCUGAGGCCGAAGAAGAGGCUGUCGCAGAUAGGAUAGAUCCACGACUGGCAAGCAUGUGUUACACAGGGUUCCAUCGGGGCGUAGAGCUGGUGGAAGAACGUAACGCUUGGGAACAUAGGUUAGUCCCUCUUCAUCAAGUGUCAUGGCACUAGUGAAUGAACAAUUUGGUGAUGGUGAACUCUCUCUCAUUCUUCCCACCAUAUUAUGCUCUUUAUCAUGACUUUUAACUCCCUAUUUAUAAGCAGGAAAAUAUGAAGAUAUAUAUGAUUUUUUGGAGUUUUUAAUUAUUUAUCCACUUACAUAAAUGUAAUACGUAUAAUGUGAGGGUACCAUGACUAUAACCAAUGGAAAAAUAAUAGAAUAUAGUGAUACAUGCAUGAACCAAAGAGUGAAACAUUUUAGGCUUGGUAAAUUGGCGGUUACAAUAAAUUGAAUUCGAUGAGUAAGAGUGUUCAGAUUCAGGUGGGAGUGAACCCACGCGCCACGAGUGAGAAUGGUGCUCUAGUUCUACACGUGCGCGUACGUAGGCACUGGCGUUUGGAACAUUAAUUUCCUUAUUUCACUUCGAGUUUAAGUUUUGUAAUUGUACAAAAUGGUUUAUACUAUCGGAUAAUAAAAUAUAAUAAAAUAUUUUACACUAUUAGGCAGAGUAAAAAUAUUGACCUGCUAUUACAGGUUAUUCAAUCUUUUGCUUGCAACAACAACAAAUCCAGUGAAUUUCUACUAAAGUGAGGUCUAAGGAGGGUAAAAUGAUUCCAAUCUUUUACAUAAAAAAAAAAAAAGAAAAAAAAUUGAGCAACCUGCGUCCAACUACUACGUCAAGUUACUUGAUAGUGUAAAAUAUUUUAUACACUAAAAAAAACUUAAAUUCUUGCACUUAUCAGCGUCGAUGCGUUAUUCUUGCACUUAUCAGCGUCGAUGCGUUGUUUCCACAGAGCAAGUAGAGUGAAAAAAAAAAUUACUCUCCCUUCAACGAAAGUUGUCCAUAGCUUAUUACACUAUUAAGGAACAAUAAAUAAUAAGAAUUUUACUUUAUUAUGCUUUUAAUGUAUUAUAUUGAGGAUCUUUAAAAAAUAGCAGUAUUUUGCUAUAAAACUUACCUUUCAUAACCACAUUUUACAUAAUUAUCAUUUAUAGCUGCUGUAUUCGAUUUAUGUCCCAUGUAUUCAAUUUUACAGAUAGUAUGUAUUCAUAUAAAAUAUGAAUACAAUCCAUAUUUAGUCGCGCCAAAAAUGGAAUUCAAUAUUUUUAAAAAGAAAAAAAUCUCAAUCACGCUUAUCUCGUUGAACUGAAUAUUUCCUUGCCUAACACUACCAUUAUCUUUUUUCAUGUUUUUUAUCCUUUUUCAUAUUUUUUUUUAUCUUUUUUUGUAUUUUUUUUUAUCUUUUGUGUUUUUCCCCUUUCUUCUUCUUUUUUCUAUUUUUUUCUACUUUUAUUUUUUUCAUUUCUUUCUUUUUCUUUUUUCCUUUUUUUCUCUCUUUAAUCCCUAACUUCUAUUUCUCUUUCUUCUUUUCUUUUCUUCUUUGAUUUUUUUUUAUUUUCUUUUUUGUACUUAUUUUCUUUAUUAUUUUUUUGUUCUAUUUUAUAUUUUUUGUAUUUUCAAAAAAUAUAAGUAGUUAGCACAAGUCAUGGAUGAUAACGUAAAUACCACAAUUAUUUAUCGUAUUUGUAGUCACACCGUCAUUUAUAUUUUUGUAUUUAUUGAUGCAACUAUAUUUGUAUUUGUAUUUUAAAGUUUGCACUUAUAUUUAUAUUUUAUAGUUUGCAUUUGUAUUUGUAUUUGAUAGUUCGCACUUGUAUUUGUAUUUAUAUUUGUUAGUUUGCGCCAUUAUUUAUAUUUUAUAUAAUUCACAUUUGUAUUUUAAAGAACUAUUUUGUAUUUGUAUUUUAUAAUUGAUUGCAUAUUAUAUUGGAUUAUAUUUAUAUUAUGGUUUUAUUGUGUUUGNNNNNNNNNNNNNNNNNNNNNNNNNNNNNNNNNNNNNNNNNNNNNNNNNNNNNNNNNNNNNNNNNNNNNNNNNNNNNNNNNNNNNNNNNNNNNNNNUAAAUGUACCGUUUUAUAUUUGUAUAUCAAAAUUAUUAUUCAUAUUUGUAAAUAAACAACUAUCACUUGAUACAAAUACAAUGACAAACAAAUGAAAUAAAUAAUUUUACAAAUACAAAUAUAAUAUGUAUUUGUAUAUAUUGUAUUUGUAUAAAAAUUUGAGUUGUAUUUAUUUGUAUCAAUAAAUACAACUCGUAUCAAUAAAUACAAACAAAUAUUCGUGGAAAGAAAAUCAAUCGUUUCUCUUCAAUAAUUAAAAAAUACAAAUGAUAGUUAACGCUUGUAUUUAUAUGUUAUAGAUUGCAUUUGUAUUUGUAUUUUAUAGUUCACACUUGUAUUUAUAUGUUAUAGUUUGCAUUUGUAUUUGUAUUUUAUAGUUUGCACUUGUAUUUGUAUGUUAUGGUUCGCAUUUGUAUUUGUAUUUUAGAGUUCGCACUUGUAUUUGUGUUUGCUAGUUUGCACAAAUGAAAAGAAGAAGAAAAAUUGAAAAGGAAAAAAAAGGAGGAAAACAUACAAAAAAGAAGAAGAGAGUAAUAGAAAAUAAGAAAAAAAUUUUAAAAAGAGAAAAAAUAAAAAGAAAAAAAAUAAAGGAGAAAAAAUACAAAACAAGAAGAAGAAAAAAAAGAGGAGAAAAAUGAAAAGAAAAAAAGAAAAAAAAUAAUAAAAAAGAAAAAAGAAAAAAAAAGUGAAAAAAUAAAAAAUAAAAAGAAUGCAACAAAAAAGGAAAAGAAAAACUGAAGAAAAAAAAAUUGAAAAAGGAAAAAAAAAGAGAAUAGUAUAAAAUAGAAAAAAGAGAAAAUACAUGGGAAAAGUUAUGAAUUGUAAUUAAGGAUAAUUAAUAGGCAAGAGGGGACUAUGAAUUAUAAUUAAUUAAAAAUUAGACUUUAAGUGGUAAUAAAAGCUCAAUAGUGGCUAAUCCAAGUAAUUUUCUCUAUUAUAUUUAAUAUUUAAAAAAUAUAUUGCAUCAUGAGCAACAUUUAAUACUAAGGAUAAAAUAAAUACAAUAAAUAAAUUAUUCAUUAAUUUUUUAAAUUGAUGAUAUAUUUUCUAAUAUAAUGGACAAACAAGGAGUAUCGGGAGUACUAAGCCAGGCAAUUUCUAGGAGUCAUUUGGAAAGCCCCGUGGGAUUUGAAUUUAAAUGUUUAAAACGGUCGUUUGGUUGGAAAAUAGUUAUCUCGAAAUAGUUAAUUUCGAGAUUAGUUAUCCCAAAAUUACUCGGGAUAACUUAUCCCACCAUGUAUAUGGGAUAAUUUAUCUCAUCACUGCAGUGUAAAUGGUGGGAUAAGUUAUCCCGGUAUUAACUAAUACAUUUAACCAAAUAUGAGAUAAAAUAAUCCUUUAUUUUAUUUCGAGACUAUUUGUUCCUUAUAUCUCACACCAAACGAUCCCUAAGUAGAUAUAAUUAUACCGUUUGAUCUGGUUAUUGAUCAAAUAAUUAUUAAUCGUUUAGUAAGGAAUUAGGUAUAACUGGUCGUAAUUACAAUUUUCAAUUUUCAAUUUUCAAGAGGGGGUGGGAAUUACAUCGUGUCAUUAUAAAGUUAUUUUUAAACUACUUCUUUUUGUUUUUAUUUUCUUUUUAAUUUAUUUCUAUUAUUUUAAUUUUUUAUUUUUCAUUUUAAAUAUUUUUUAUCUUACCUUAUUUAUUUUUCAUUUCUUUUCUUCUCAUUUUCCAACUUUUACAUCUUGAGAUUCCAGUAAUUGCUUGUAUUUUUUAUUUUUAUUUAUUUUUUCAUUUAGCAUAUUUGAGUUAGUAUUCUAAUUUUUGAAUUAAAGUGAACUCUAUGCCAUUAAUUAUUAUUUUUUCAAACAUGCAUUUCAUGAUUUUCUUAAAGACCAUAUAUUUUUAGUUUUAAUAAUUAAUUAAAUAAAACUUAUUAUUAACUUCAAAUAUAUAUAUAUAUUAUUUUUAUAAUAUUAGUUAAAAAUAUGAAAUUAUUAAUUAGUAUACUUUCAAGAGACAAUAUGUGUCUUAAAUACGCGAUUUAAUAUCAAUUUUGAUAAUUAUUUUUUGUUGUGUAAUCACACCUGUGCAGUCAAUAUGUACUUAUAACUACACUGUAAUUUUAUUAUGACAAAUAAAUAGGUUAUCAUAAUACUUUAUUGUAUAAUUAAUCAAGUGACUUGAGAAAAUUGAAGGAAAGAUGUCUUUUAAGUUUUGAAUGAAGGAUUGGUGACAUUGAUCAAUAGAUAGGGUCAAAUAUCAUUAGGAAACUUGAUUAAAUUAAUUGUGGACUUGAUUAAUAUUUUCAAAAUUUUCUAAUCUUUUAAAAAAUACAAAUCAACCCAACCCACAUUCCUCUUCAAUCAAAAUCAACCACNNNNNNNNNNNNNNNNNNNNNNNNNNNNNNNNNNNNNNNNNNNNNNNNNNNNAAAAAUUCUCCGUUCAACCUCCGACGACAAAUAGUCGGACGAGUUCCUUUUCGACUUUCAACUGUCAAUCGAUGUGAAGACUUCUCCGGCAACAACAACUUCGAGUUUUUCGUCGUCCUAUUUCCCGUUUCACAGGUAAAAAAUUAUGAAGAAAUAGAGGAACUUGAGCCAAGUACUCUUCUAGUAUUGAAAUAUGGACUGAAUAAAACCCUAAUUUCUGGCAUUUCUUCUUCUUAUUGUCGUACUGUUGAUUCGAAUUUGUCGGUGAUUUUUGAUCACAGUUGAUGUUCUUAGUGUGUGUGUGUGUGUGAUGUGUUGGUGUUGUUAAAAUUGAUUUGUUGUUUGUCUUGGUAAAAAUGGUAUUGCAACAGAUAAAACAUUUGAUGUAACAGAUGAAACAUAUGAUGCAACAGAUGAAAAUCUGAUGCAGCAUAUGAAAAUCUGAUGCAACAGAUAAAAAUCUGAUGCAACAGGUGAACAAUCUAACAGAUCAUUCAUCUGUUGCGAUAGAUGACUCUUCUGUUUGGAAGAAAUCUAAACAAUAUUGGCACAACAGAUAACUGAUUAGUAAUCUGUUUUUAUUCUUUCCAACGGUUUACUCUUCAUUUUGCAACAGGUUAGGACUGUUUUAUUCUUUCCAACGAUUUACUCAUCCGUUGUAACAGGUCGGUUAUAUGUUGCAACAAAUAACAUACCUGGUGCAACAGAUUAGUGAUUCGUUUUUAUUCUUUCCAACGGUUUACUCAUCCGUUGCAACAGGUCUUAUAUGUUGCAACAGAUAAAAUACCUGGUGCAACAGAUUAGUGAUCUAUUUUUAUGGUUUCCAACGGAUUACUCAUCCGUUACAACGGGUCAGUUAUAUGUUGCAUCAGAUAAAAUACCAGGUGCAAUAAAUUAGUGCUGUUUUUAUGGUUCCCACGGAUUACUCAUCCGUUGCAAUAGGUCGGUUAUAUGUUGCAACAGGUAACACACCUGGCGCAACAGAUUAGUUGUCUGUUGGAACUAUUACAUUACUGUUAUGCAUUAAUCAAUUAUAAUCUAUGUUAUGUUCCUAUUAAUUUAAGAUAACAUGGCCCCCAAAAGAAAAGAAAUCGAAUCAAGUCCAAGUGAAGGAACAAGUGCAGCAGCUCAGCUACAUCCAACACUCUAUGAGCUUGCUUUACAAGCGUUAUCUCAAUCUGGAGCAGAAGAUGAUGAACACGGGGAGGAGGAAUCUUUCAAAAGAGAUGAUCCGCAUGCUAAUAGCCCUUCCGUCGAAGAGUUGGUCAAAACCUUCAGCAUUGAUCGUUAUCCUGUGAGAAUGCAGAGCGAUGGUGCCACAGAUUUAUCGGGUGAUCUCGUGGUUAAGUCAGUCAUGGGAAAAUCUUUCGAUGCCUUCAGAAAAAUACUUUGAGAAUAAAAAUUGGAUUCUUAUUUCAGGGAAAGCUGCUUUGGGCAAUAUCUUGAUUUGCCGGAGGACAACAAUGCUCGUUUUCAGAUGAAAAUGGUAUAUGAUCUUCUCAAGCCCAGGUUUAUGUAUGAACACAAAGAUAAGAUGGAUGAGGUGUGGAUAAAUUACUGUGACAUGCCUGUUUGUUUUGGUUGAAAGGAGUUUGCCAUAGUUACCGGACUAAAAUGUUAUCCUCCUUCUCCUUCUCAAGUUAUACCUACUUUGACUCAAAAAAAAAGCACCCCGCCCACCCAACAAAGGAAAAGACAAGUCGAGUGAUCAUGAUGACCUGGUGUCCAUUCUUGGUCCAAGCUUCAAAAACAAAAAUCUGGUAGAAGUGUUGAAAGGUAAAAGGCUUUCAAAAAAGCACAAACAAUCAUUGUGCUUGGUUUGGUUUGUACAUAAUAGUCUUUGGGCGAGAGACGUUAACAACAACAUAAGCCUCGAUUUAAUAAAUCUCUCCGAGGAUCUUGAGGUAGUUAACAACUAUCCUUGGGGUUAUGAAAGUUUCAAAAUGGCUGUCGAAUAGUUGUUGACUCCGUUAACACCAAAAACAGUCAACUUAUAUGGCUUUCCAUGGGCCUUCAUGGUAAAUAUUUCUUUUAUCAUGAUAUGAUUUAUCAUUUUUUUAUUCAAUAAUGCUUUUAAUUUAUUGGCGUUAUGUUAUCGGCUUGGGCAUUUGAAGCCAUUCCUUAUUUGAAACAACAAGUGAACUACCAGGAAGAAGUUUCUUGUCCAAGAAUUCUGAUAUGGUUGUAGGCCAAAACCGAUAAAAACGCAAAAUUUCUUGAUCUUUUCAAUCCCCCUGUCACACGCCUUUUUACGCUCGAGGGUUCGAGUUGAAGGAUUUUUCCAAUUAAAGUGACAGUUUUGAAUAAGAAUUAGUUUAUUAACAGAGUUGCCACUUGGAUUGAGUUAUGGUGUUCCAAGUCACCUUAUUGAAUUCCUAAUCAAAAUGAAAUGACUCUUUAUUUUGGUCUGCAAAAACAGAAGACCGGGUAAAGAAUUCUAUUGAUCGAGGGGAAGGCGUGAGGCACCCCUCGAGUCCUGUGGUUCUAGUACGGUCGCUUUUAUUGACUUAUCUUAACGUAAACUAUUUAAUAAAUUAUGUUAAGGCCUAAAAUCACUCAUUUUUAUUAUACCUAAAUCGUCUAUAUUUUAUAUUUAAUUAAAUCGGUGAAAGUUAGUUUUUUUGAAAAAUAUUUAUCAAGGUGCAUUAUUGCACCCUUAAAUUUUAAAAUAUCUCAGAAAGAUGUAUACGCCGCAUUUUUAAUUGAGACGAAUAUUUUAAACGCAUUUAAAAUUUACCUAAAUUCCUAAUAACAAACUAAAGUAAAAUUCAUUUAAUGCAAUUAAUUAAAUCAAUAAAUAAUUAUUAAGUUCUAUUAAUAAAAAUAAUAAAAUAAAUAAAAAUAUAAAUCUACUAUAUUGCGUUAAAUUUAAUAUUAUCCCCAAAAUUUAAUUUAUUCAAAAUUCAUACAAAAUCAAAUCAUAUUUUAUAAGAUAAAUUAACACACAAAAAAAAAUCCCAAUAAUCUAAUUUAAACAUAAAUUUAUGAAAGAAAAAUUGAGCAACCCUAAAAUAAAGAUAUAUAAAAUCCAAACAAGAUAUAAUUAUUUUUAAAAUAUUGGAGAUUAAAUUAAUAUCAUAUUUUAAUUAUAAGUUGAUAAGUGAUGGAAUAUUGCUAGAUAAGGAGAUUAAUAUAAUUUCUCAUAAAGUAAUAAUAAUAAAAAAUAACAAAAAAAAUUCGAAAGAUAUUUAGCAUUAACAUUUUUAAAUAGUCUGCAUAAAAAAAAGAAAUAGAUAGCGUAUUUUUAAAACAAACGGAGAUAGUCACUGGCCGGAGUUGUCAACGGCAUCUAUGCUUGCCUCUCCGAUUGAAGAUGACGGCAUGGCUAAUUUGCCUGUAUGGUUGGUUGCAGUUUGCCAAAAGGAGAGGAAGGAGCGCUGGCGGGUAAGGGAAGGCGCUGUUGCGCCACAUUCCGGAGACGGAGGGAGAGAAAGGGGUCGGCGGCAUAGGUGAGGGGAGGGGGGAUAGCGCCGACAGCAGAUCUGGGAAGGGAUGUGGAGGCGGCGCCGGUGCUGGGAUGGCUAGUAUCGCCAGAAAAGGGGGAGGGGAAAGGCGCCGACAAUGGCUAUCUCGCCAUGUCGUGGAGGUUUCGGUUACAUCUGGCGCGCCAUUCAUUGGUGUCGCCGGCGGAUUGAUACUGUUCCAGUAGUGUGGGGGUUGUUUUCGACAAGAAAUUUGGCUGGAGAGGACCAAUGUUGAUUGUUUUCCAACGAUGAAUAAACUUUUUUCCGGCAAAAUUUCGCUGAAAAAUUAAUAUAAGAGUCUAUUAUUUUUUCAUCUUCUUCCUUCAAUUUUCUCACUUUUUUUUCGGUCUCUUACUGAUUUCUCCUUGUCUUUGUGUGAAUGCGUGUGUUGUGCUAUUGUGUAUAUUAUUCCGAUCAACUAUAUUCAAUAUACUCUUGUUAGUGAUGUCGACGGAGUGGCCAGUGAUAUUUUGUGUAUUGUUAGCUGUGAGUGAAAUUAUAACAGUGUUCAUGUAACUGUAACAGUACCCCUUUUCUUAAAUCAGACACUAUCAUAUGCAAUAUUUUUAUAUCUAACACAGUAUAUAAAUAUUCAGUGAUUUGAUAUCAUAAUAUAUAAUAAUAGAAAAUUUACAUAAUCAAUCAAAUGCACAUAUCAAAUAAUGCAUAAGAUCACUUGAACAUUUUCAUUCAUGCUAGUUCAUAAUAAAGUUUACAGGAUAAAUGAUACAUGAUCAAAUAGAACCUGUGAUGAAGCAAAAAAUCGACAUCAAAACUCGAACAGAAACCCGAAACUCUAUUUGCUACUCUUUCUCUUCUUUCUUUUUUGUGUUUGAUUUUGAGUGUUGUUUUCUUCUCAUUUGAUUUUGAGUGUUGUUUUCUUCUCACUUUUUGUCCGAUUUCUCUCUGUAUUUUUUAGUGUGGUCUUUCUCUCUCCGUAUUUUUUAUCUCUGUCUGAUUUGUCUGAUAUAGUGUAUGAGGAUGUGAAAAAGUACGUCCGUUUCCUGGGGUUGGGGAGUCCUUAAAUAGAAGGAUUUUGGGGGGAGUAGUGUAGGUAGUUUAGGAUUUAAAUUUUGAAUUUUUUUUUAUAUAUAUAGGAUAAUGAUCUCAUUUUUUAAUAAAUAAAUAAAUUAUAUAAAAAUUAAAUAAUAAAAUAAUAAUAAUAAUAAAUAUUAAAUAAUUAAUUUUUAUACUUAAGAAAAAUAGAAUAAAAAUAUAACUAAUUUAAAAUAAAAAUAUAAUUAAGAGAAAAUAAAAUUACUAGAUUAUUUAUAAAAAUCUAAAUUAAAAGAAAAUAUUUUUUGAAAAUUUUUUUGUAUUAUUUUAAAAAAAAAAAUCUUAAAAUGUAACUUUAUUUUUUGAUUUUUUUAAAAUGAAAUCUAUUAAAAAAAUAAAUUAAAUAAGAACUAAAGAUAAUAUUUUGACAUAAAUAAAUAUUUAAUGUCAAUAAAUAAAUAAAUCAAAACUCGGGAGUGUCAAAAAUCACGUGUCUACAUUUUUGCCCCUCUUUUUGUUGAAUCUCGAAGAGUUUUCAUACAAAGAAGUAGACAAGAUAUGAUUUUUGACCCUCCAAUUAUUUGAAAGUUAAGGAUAAAAAUAAAAAUUAAAGGAAAAAUGUAACCGAGUUCUAAUUUUGGACCUCCUACAUAUCCCGGGUUUAAGAGAAUCAGGUCACAUGUAGUUCAAAGAUAACAUGGUAAGAGAAUGAGUUAGACAUCGAGUGAGAUUUCGUUCGAGUUUCCGAUUUUCGACUUUCUGCUUUUACAUUGAAAUGAAUAACAAAAAAUAAAAUAAAGAUACAAAUGAAAGAUCCUAUCUAUGCUGCUUUUCUGGAAUCUUGACUUGAAUCUUUACGACUUCUCAAAUGGUGAGAUAGUCGUUAUUUUGAGUUGAACUUGAAACACGAAAUGUUCCUUCUCGUUGGCUUUUGGCGUUAGAGAGGAACUUGAUAAUUCAUUUAUUCUUUGAACUUUCCUCUGACUUGAAUUUGACAAUCUUUACCCUAUUUUUCAGGCGGACUCCUGAACUUGCAAUUGAUAAUGUUCACCCUAUUCUUCAGGCAGGCUCCUGGACUUACAAUUUCUUCACCUUGUUCUUCAGGCGGGCUCCUGGACUUUCUCUUUCUUCACCCUGUUCUUCAGGCGGACUCAUGGACUUACAAUUUCUUUACCCUGUUCUUCAGGCGGGCUCCUGAACUUACAAUUUCUUCACCCUAUUCUUCAGGCGGGCUCCUGAACUUUUUUUUUCUUCACUAUGUUCUUCAGGCGGUCUUCUGGACUUACAAUUUCUUCACCCCAUUCUUCAGGCGGGCUCCUGGACUUCCUUUUUUUAUUCACCCUGUUUUUCAGGCGGGCUCCUGGACUUACAAUUUCUUCACCCUAUUCUCCUGGCGGGCUCCUGGACUUCCUUUUUUUCUUCACCCUAUUUUUCAGGCGGGCUCCUGGACUUACAAUUUCUUCAUCCUAUUCUUCAGGCGGGUUCCUGGACUUCUUUUUUUCUUUACUCUGUUCUUUAGGCGGGAUCCUGAACUUACAAUUUCUUCACCUAUUUCUUCAGGCGGGCUCCUGGACUUUCUUUUUUUUCUUCACCUUGUUUUUCAGGCGGGUUCCUGAACUUCUUUUUUUUGUCUUCACCCUGUUUUUUAGGCGGCUCCUGGACUUACAAUUUCUUCACCCUAUUCUUCAGGCGGGCUCUUGGACUUACAAUUUCUUCACCCUGUUCUUCAGGCGGGCUCCUGGACUUCUUUUUCUUCACCCUGUUCUUUAGGCGGACUCUUGACUUGUUUUUUUUUCACCCUAUUCUUCAGGCGGGCUCCUGGACUUCUUUUUUCUUCACCCUAUUCUUCAAGCAGGCUCCUGGACUUCUUUUUUUCACUCUGUUUUCAGGCGGGCUCUUGGACUUUCUUUUUUCUUCACCUUGUUCUUUAGGUGGCCUCCUGGACUUACAAUUUCUUCACCCUAUUCUUCAGGCGGGCUCCUGGACUUUUUUUUUGAUUUUUCAAAUAUGUUCUUGAACUCAAAAUAAAAGGUGAAACAGAAAAAUAACAUCCUAUUCUUCAGGAGGGUCCUGUGCACAAAGUAAAUUCUCAUUUUUCAGGAGGGUCCUGUUCAAAAGUAAAUUCCCAUUCUUCAGGAGGGUCUUGUUCAAAAGUAAAUUUCUAUUCUUCAGGAGGGUCCUGUUUAAAAAGUAAAUUUCCAUUCUUCAGGAGGGUCCUGUUCAAAAGUAUAUUCCCAUUCUUUAGGAGGGUCCUGUUCAAAAGUAAAUUCUCAUUUUUCAGGAGUGUUUUUGUUCAAAAAGUAAAUUCCUAUACAACACACAUAAAAUUUUGCCCCAGUUUGUACUGAGAAAAUUUGUAUGUCAUCAGAUCAUAACUGAGAUCCAGCAUCGUAUGCUGUAAUCAUGAUUUUUGCAUUGACAGAAGUGUGAAAUUGUAUCCUUUAUUUGAAAACUUUUUAUCCCUGUUUCAAACAAAACAAAGAAAAAUUGUGAGUUUUGAAAACACAUGGUGGUUGGUUUGUGGUAUUUGGCUCUUGAAUUGACGUUGUUGCACUUGCCAUGCUCAAAUCCUUUUCUAAUCCUUGAUAGAUAUCCAUUGACUUGUCACACUUCUGACCCAAAAUUCUGACUACUGAUAUUCUCAACUCAAAACACAUUUCUCUUGUAUAAUAUCUCAGAAUUUAACAUUUCAUACACCCUUUAUCUUUCAACGAGUCAAAAACUGUCAAAUCAUAAUCAUUCUGAAUACUUUAUUAUACUUUGAAAUGUUGUCCUUGUACGUCGACCCUUUGUCUUGCUUUUUAUCAUUGAAGAAGUUGAUAGCAAGUUUGGAGUCCUUUCUCACUAGACCUGACGUGAAUCUGACUCAAAAGCACAUACAAGACAAUAAAAUUUUCAUUUGAUGACAAGGACACAAAAAUAAAAAAUUAAAAUAAAACAAAAAGAAAAAAGACAAUAAUCAUCUCUUUUUCAAAAAAAAAAAAAAACUUAUCUGAAUGUGAAAACCGAUUCUGGUGAUUAUGACAUGCAUUUUGAAUCAAACAACCAGAUCUAUCCACACCAAUCAUUAUAAUUUUUGUCCAUUUAUUGAGCUUGAAAUUUAGCCAAUCUUGAGCUUGUUCGUUCUGGAUAAAUACUCUUCUUCGGCUAGUGGCACCUAAAUGGGUUUUUGCCAACAAGCCUAUCUCAUUUUCACUUUUUUCUCAGCUUACAGUCGCCUUAUGGUGCCCAAUAGGGUUUUCACCAAUGAAACUCUCUCUUUUUCAUUCAUUUUUUAAAAUAAACACCCAAAAUAUGAAAUAUCAUGCACCCAUAAAUUGUUAAGCCUUGACAUUCUCAAAGAUUGAUCUGAAGGUAUUUCUUUGGUUGUAACUUAGAUUUUGGAUAGGGUUAGAAGGAAAUGGCGGCAUGAGGCUCAAAAAUUACAUAACAUUGGGUGAAGCAUACAACUUUUGAAAUCGACUCUAUUAAGAAAAUAAACUUUUGCCCCAGUUUUAUUUCAUUCUGAGUAACUUGAAUUUUAUUUUGGUUGGAUCGAACCCCGGAGUAAGGCUGCUUACGUAUCUUGUCAUAGCAAGAAUCAGGUCAAACGUAAUUCAUGAUCGUCAUUCUUUUGCUUUUUGCUCUUUUUUUUUUCUUUUUUGAAUCGAACUUUGGCUCACUUGUUUUUCUUUUCUUUGAUUCUUCUUUUUUUGGGACUUUUCCAAUUUCAAUUUUUUGACACUUUUUUUUUGACUUCAUUUUUCUUGACACUUUUUUUUUUAUAUUUUUUUUUUCAAAUUCUAGUUUUAUUCCAAAAGAGGGGUACAAAAGAAAAUAACACUAAAGCUCAAAAGGGGUAACAAAGGACGACACAACAUUUGGGUAGCAGAAUGAAAUGCCUUCGUCAUAUCAAUCCUUAAAAACGGAAGAACAUAACAUGCAAUUUGAGGGUGAAACAUGAGAUCAUACAUAUCUUUUCAACAUUGACUUUGACUAAGAACGUGCACAUGUGUCACUUCUGUCAUGCUUAUGAAACAUACAAGUCCACUUGUGUUGUACUUUCUCCACACGAAUGACUCAUGUCUCUUUGGGAGCUAACUUUCUUUCAUUUUUCCUGACAAUGGAGAUUAUAUAUCCUCUGAUUGAUCCCAUUCAAAAUGCUUGAAUUAGAUUUUCUAAUUGAUGAUCAAGUCAUUUUUGAUUUGCAAAACGAUUGCUCCAAUUUCAUCUAUAUUGCAAUUUGACUUAUUCUCAAACUGUUUGAAAUCUUUUGCUUAUAUUCUCAAAUACUUCCUCUUCAUCGUAUUCAACCUCUUUAUUCAUUAUUUCAUAAUUAGAUUGGAUUUUAAAAUUUGAUUGAUAAUUUUUCAUGCAUGUCAUAUCGUUAUAAUCGGCAUAGAAAGAACUGAAUAAUAGAAAAUAUAUAAGUAAAUAUUAGACACAAAAUAAAAUAAAGGGAAAUUAUGUUUCAUUAAAAAAUAAAGAUAGACAAAGCUUUAACCUAAAAUAACAAGGUAAAAAUCUGAAUUACAACCCUAGAACGAUUCAAAUUGCAGAAAGACAAAUAAACAAACUACCAAGACUCCUUCAUAGUAGAGAGAAGAGUGACCUCCCAAUUGUUAAGUUUGACAUCUUAGCGACUGGUUUGCUUAUCAGCAUGACUAGAACUUCCACCACUAUCCAACACAUUUUCUUCAACAAAUAAAUUCUGGAUCCCCAUGCUUAGCUCAUUGUUUCCCACGUAUUGUGCAUUAUCGUGUGUUGAUGAAGGAUUCCGUAUGACGCUCCUAGUGUCAAUGCUUUGCACUACAAUCAAUUUUUCUUAAAUCAACCUUUCUAUUUCUCUUUUUAAUGCAUGACAAUCCUCAAUACUGUGACCUUGAAUAUCAGAAUGAUAUGCACAUCGUACAUGAGGAUCAAAAUUUCUUGAAUGUGGAUCAGGAGUACACUCAAGGAGAGGAGUGAUUAUGUCCAACUUUAUCAAUAUCUGGAAUAAACUAGCAUACGAUUCCUCAAUUUGUGUAAAAUUAUUCUUUGAAUUUCUCCUCUUUGCAAACUCCGGCCUCGAUUGAAACUUAGACUUAGAAGUUCUUUGAUAAAUAUGUGGGGGUCCAGGACGAUGUUGAGGAACCGGUGCAUGCCAUUGCAGAUAAGAAAAUGGAUGAUCAUACAACUGUGCAUUGUUUAAAGGAUAUUAAGGAAGUGGAAUGAAAUAUCUUGGAUUUUACAAACAGGAACCUUGUUGCAUGUGAGCAUAUGAAUUUGAUGUGCAAGCUCGGGAUUGAGACUGGCAAUAUUGUUGAGUUGGACCUCUUGAGCUCUUCUUUUCCCCUGUAACGACAAUAGGUACAUUUUCCUUUUUCUUCCUUUCUGUCCCUCUUAAUUGAUGGCAAUAUCGUCCCAAGUGUUUUACGAAAUCCUCGUACCCAUCAUGUUUCUCAAAUUUCGAUAUCUUAAGGCUUGGAGGAAGGUUAACACUUGAAGACAUUUCCCCGUCUUUAUAUGCAAUAUCUUCAUAAUUCGUAAUUCCCUGAGAAUUUUUCGUAGCCUUUUCUGUACUCUUAAUUUUCCUAGCCAUUUUCUCUUGCUCUUCUGUCAUGUCAGACUUCUUAGUAAGAAAUUUUGGUGGUCCAACUAACAUAGAUGUGGGCUCAGGAGUAUAAUAGUGAUCAUCAAGAGUGUUGAACAUCGACUUACUAGCAGAAUGGGGAGGUCCAAUCGCCGGAUCAAAAGCUAAGAUGGAAUCCUCAGUAGAGGGUGGAGCAACAGAAGCAGAGACUAUAGGUGGUGCUAUCGAUGUGCUAGAUUUAUACUGAAGAUCUAAAAAAUGAGUGAUUGAAACAUUGAGAUUAUUUUGGCUUGGAAUAGAUUCUGGGGCAUGUUGUGGUGCAUAACCAAUAGCAGAAAACUGACCUUACAAUUUUGGUGAAAAACUCAAGGUAUUUGUAAGGUCAAUAGUGGAUAAUGGCGGAGGAGGCAUCCCACUGGCCCAAGCUCGAUACAUUUCCAACAUUUGUUGCCUCAAACGCACAAUCUCUUGUUUUAACCUCUCAUUUUCCCGACUCUUUGUCUGAUCCAUGAUUUCACUUUCUAUAUUCUUGCUGGACAUGACUCUUUUUCUUGAAUUUGGUGUAAUAUGAGGGACCAACACAAAUACCACAAACCAACCACCUUAAACUAACUGUAUAAGAAAUAACAAAGGUGUUAGAAUGCAAUAUUUUUCAAAAACUCUUUUUUUUGUCUUCUUUUUUGAAGAGAUCACCGAACCCUAGAAGGGAUGUCUACAUAUCUCACUAAGAUGAGAAUCAGGUGUGCAUAGUUCUCAAAAAUUGGAGAUACGAAGAAAUAUACCUUUUUUUUCUUUUUUUUUAAUAAUGAGAAAUUUAUUUACUUAUUAAAUAUUUUUUUUAUUUUUGAAAACAUUUUUUUUUUCAGUGUAAAAAGAAAGACAAUCAUUUUUUAAAACAUCACCGAAUCUAUUAAGGACUGCCUACAUAUCUCAAUAAAAUGAGAAUCAGGUGUGCGUAGUUCCUAAAAAUUAUGUCGUACAAAAAUCAGCUUCAAAACCCUUAGAGGUUUAGGGUUGUUAAUAUUUAUAUAAAAAGAAUUUUUUUAAAAACUUAGCCUCAUGAUCCCUAAAGAUUCAGGGCUGUUAAGAUUUAUUUAUUUUUAUUUAUUUUGUAAAAACUUAGCCUCAUGAUCCCUAAAGAUUCCGGGCUAUUGAAAUAUAUAUUUUUAUUUUUGUAAAAACUUAGCCUCAUGAUCCUUAAAAAUUCAUGUCUAUUAAGAUAUAUAUAAAAAUUGGACCAGAGAAUUAGAAAAAUAAUUAUGAAAGUAAUCAUAUUUUCAAAAUAUUAACCAAUAAAUCUAUGAAUAAUUUUUCAAAAGAUAGGGUCGUAUCCCGAGAAGGACUUCCUACGUAUCCCACUAAGAUGUGAGAAUCAGACCCUCUUAUUUUAUGAGGACCGUAAAACUAUGUUACUAAAAUUUUUCCUUUCUUUUUAAAAACAAAACUUUUCUUUGAAAAAAAAUAAUUCACAAAAUGUGCAGAUAAAUUAAUCUCUUGCAUUUUAAAGUUGCCUAAAAUCGGUCAACAAACAAAUAGCCUUCCAAACAAAUGUCAAAGAGCACGUAGGAUGCACAUGUUGGUCUUUAUAAAGUAGGUCAACUGUCCUAGAUAGACCCGGACCCUGUGCCGCGUCCCGCUAAGUCAAAUGCAUAUGAUGCAAAUAAAGCGGCACCUAAUAGGGAUAACCAGAUUCUGUGUUUUUAGUUCUUCUAAGUUUAAUCCUAAUAGGGGUAGGUGUCUACACUGGCUUACCCGAACGGACACUCAAGCUGGGGAGGAACAACUUGAUCGGUAGCAGGGAAAUACCUCCUUCGUUGCCGAUCCAAACCCCGCCUAACAUGUGUGACUAUAAUCCUUCACUAGGUGCCUUGACACUCCGGCUAUCUUAAAAAAAAAGUAGGAUGCAUGCGCUGCAUUCCUUCUAUCCUAUUUCAGAGACUCAGAGGGGGUGCGCAAGAGAAGACAGUAUAUAGUACAGUUUAAUCAAUAUCAAAGCGGUAAAUAAGGGACAAGUAGCACAUAAGGCCAACUCACACAAUAUCAACAAUAAUUAAAGCAAGUAUAAGUCAAUAUAAAAAGGUCGAAUUCUUAUUAUUCCCCAGCAGAGUCGCCAGAGAUGUCACACCCCUUUUUACGCUCGAGGGUUCGAGUUGAAGGAUUUUUCCAAUUAAAGUGACAGUUUUGAAUAAGGAUUAGUUUAUUAACAGAGUCGCCACUUGGAUUGAGUUGUGGUAUUCCAAGUCACCUUAUUGAAUCCCUAAUCAAAAGGAAAUGACUCUUUAUUUUGGUCUGCGAAAAUAGAAGAUCGGGUAAGAAAUUCUAUUGAUCGAGGGGAAGGCGUGAGGCACCCCUCGAGUCCCGUGGUUCUAGCACGGUCGCUUUUAUUGACUUAUCUUAACUUAAACUAUUUAAUAAAUUAUGUUAAGGCCUAAAAUCGCUUAUUUUUAUCAUACCUAAAUCGUCUAUAUUUUAUAUUUAAUUAAAUCGGUGAAAGUUAAUUUUUUUGAAAAAUAUUUAUCAAGGUGCAUUAUUGCACCCUUAAGUUUUAAAAUGUCUCGGAAAGGUGCGUAUGCCGCAUUCUUAAUUGAGACGAAUAUUUUAAACGCAUUUAAAAUUUACCUAAAUUCCUAAUAACAAACUAAAGCAAAAUUCAUUUAAUGCAAUUAAUUAAAUCAAUAAAUAAUUAUUAAGUUCUAUUAAUAAAAAUAAUAAAAUAAAUAAAAAUAUAAAUCUACUAUAUUGCGUUAAAUUUAAUAUUAUCCCCAAAAUUUAAUUUAUUCAAAAUUCAUUCAAAAUCAAAUCAUAUUUUAUAAGAAAAAUUAACACAAAAAAAAUUCCAAUAAUCUUAUUUAAACAUAAAUUUAUGAAAAAAAACAUUGAGCAACCCUAAAAUAAAGAUAUAUAAAAUCCAAAUGAGAUAUAAUUAUUUUUAAAAUAUUGGAGAUUAAAUUAAUAUCAUAUUUUAAUUGUAAGUUUAUAAGUGAUGGAAUAUUGCUAAAGAAGGGGAUUAAUACAAUUUCUCAUAAAGUAAUAAUAAAAAAAUAACAAAAAAAAAUUUCAAAGAUAUUUAGCAUUAACAUUUUUAAAUAGUCUGCAUAAAAAAAAAGAAACAGAUAGCGUAUUUUUAAAACAAACGGAGAUAGUCACUGGCCGGAGUUUUCAACGAAAUCUAUGCUCGCCUCUCCGAUUGAAGAUGACAGCAUGGCUACUUUGCCGGUAUGGUUGGCUGCAGUUUGCCGAAGGGAGAGAAAGGAGCGCUGGCGGGUAAGGGGAAGGCGCUGUUGCGCCACAUUCCGGAGACGGAGGGAGAGAAAGGGGUCGACGACGUAGGUGAGGGGAGGGGGGAUAGCGCCGACAGCAGAUCUGGGAAGGGAUGUGGAGGCGACGCCGGUGCUGGGCUGGCUAGUAUCGCCAGAAAAGGGGGAGGGGAAAGGCGACGGUAAUGGCUGUCUCACCGUGUGGUGGAGGUUUCGGUCACAUCUGGCGCCCCAUUGAUUGGUCACAUCUGGCGCGCCGUUGAGGCAGUUAACAACUAUCCUUGGGGUUAUGAAAGUUUCAAAAUGACUGUCGAAUAUCUAUUGACUCCGUUAACGCCAAAAACAGUCAACUUAUAUGGCUUUCCAUGGGCCUUCAUGAUAAAUAUUUCUUUUAUCAUGAUAUGAUUCAUCAUUUUUUUAUUCAAUAAUGCUUUUAAUUUAUUGGCGUUAUAUUAUAGGCUUGGGCAUUUGAAGCCAUUCCUUAUUUGAGACAACAAGUGAACUACUAGGAAGAAGUUUCUUGUCCAAAAAUUCUAAGAUGGUUGUAGGCCAAAACCAAUAAAAAUGUAAAAUUUCUUGAUCUUUUCAAUCCCCCUGUCACACCCCUUUUUACGCUCGAGGGUUCGAGUUGAAGGGUUUUUCUAAUUAAAGUGACAGUUUUGAAUAGGAACUAGUUUAUUAACAGAGUCGCCACUUGGAUUGAGUUAUGGUGUUCCAAGUCACCUUAUCGAAUCCCUAAUCAAAAGAAAAUGACUCUUUAUUUUGGUCUGCGAAAACAGAAGACCGGGUAAGGAAUUCUAUUGACCGAGGGGAAGGCGUGAGGCACCCCUCGAGUCCCGUGGUUCUAGUACGGUCGCUUUUAUUGACUUAUCUUAACGUAAACUAUUUAAUAAAUUAUGUUAAGGCCUAAAAUCACUCAUUUUUAUUAUACCUAAAUCGUCUAUAUUUUAUAUUUAAUUAAAUCGGUGAAAGUUAAUUUUUUUGAAAAAUAUUUAUCAAGGUGCAUUAUUGCACCCUUAAAUUUUAAAAUGUCUCGGAAAGAUGCAUACGCCGCAUUCUUAAUUGAGACGAAUAUUUUAAACGCAUUUAAAAUUUACCUAAAUUCCUAAUAACAAACUAAAGCAAAAUUCAUUUAAUGCAAUUAAUUAAAUCAAUAAAUAAUUAUUAAGUUCUAUUAAUAAAAAUAAUAAAAUAAAUAAAAAUAUAAAUCUACUAUAUUGCGUUAAAUUUAAUAUGUCCCCAAAAUUUAAUUUAUUCAAAAUUCAUACAAAAUCAAAUCAUAUUUUAUAAGAUAAAUUAACACACACAAAAAAAAUCCCAAUAAUCUAAUUUAAACAUAAAUUUAUGAAAAAAAACAUUGAGCAACCCUAAAAUAAAGAUAUAUAAAAUCCAAACGAGAUAUAAUUAUUUUUAAAAUAUUGGAGAUUAAAUUAAUAUCAUAUUUUAAUUAUAAGUUGAUAAGUGAUGGAAUAUUGCUAGAUAAGGAGAUUAAUAUAAUUUCUCAUAAAGUAAUAAUAAAAAAAAUAACAAAAAAUUCGAAAGAUAUUUAGCAUUAACAUUUUUAAAUAGUCUGCAUAAAAAAAGAAACAGAUAGCGUAUUUUUAAAAUAAACGGAGAUAGUCACUGGCCGGAGUUGUCAACGGCAUCUAUGCUCACCUGUCCGAUUGAAGAUGACGGCAUGGCUAAUUUACCGGUAUGGUUCGCUGUAGUUUGCCAAAAGGAGAGGAAGGAGCGCUGGCGGGUAAGGGAAGGCGCUGUUGCGCCAGAUUCCGGCGACGGAGGGAGAGAAAGGGGUCGACGGCGUAGGUGAGGGGAGGGGGGAUAGCGCCGGCAGCAGAUCUGGGAAGGGAUGUGGAGGCGGCACCGGUGAUGGGAUGCUUAGUAUCGCCAGAAAAGGGGGAGGGGAAAGGCGAUGACAAUGGCUGUCUCACCGUGUCGUGGAGGUUUCGGUCACAUCUGGCGCGCGUUGAUUGGUGUCGCCGGCGGAUUGAUACUGUUCCAGUAGUGUGGGGGUCGUUUCCGACAAGAAAUUUGGCUGGAGAGGACCAAUGUUGAUUGUUUUCCAAUGAUGGAUAAACUUUUUUCCGGCAAAAUUUCGCCGAAAAAUUAAUAUAAGAAUCUAUUAUUUUUUCAUCUUCUUCAAUUUUCUCACUUUUUUUUUCGGUCUCUUACUGGUUUCUCCUUGUCUUUGUGUGAAUGCGUGUGUUGUGCUGUUGUGUAUAUUAUUUCGAUCAACUAUAUUCAAUAUACCCUUGUUAGUGAUGUCGACGGAGUGGCUAGUGAUAUUUUGUGUAUUGUUAUCUGUGAGUGAAAUUAUAACAAUGUUCAUGUAACUGUAAUAGUACCCCUUUUCUUAAACCAGACACUAUCAUAUGCAAUAUUUUUAUAUCUAACACAAUAUAAAUGUAUAAAUAUUUAGUGAUUUGAUAUCAUAAUGUAUAAUAAUAGAAAAUUUACAUAAUCAAUCAAAUACACAUACCGAAUAAUGCGUAAGAUCACUUGAACAUUUUCAUUCAUGCUAGUUCAUAAUAAAGUUUAUAGGAUAAAUUAUACAUGAUUAAAUAAAACUUGUGAUGAAGCAAAAAAUCGACAUCAAAACUCAAACAGAAACCCGAAACUCCAUUUGCUACUCUUUCUCUUCUUUCUUUUUUGUGUUUGAUUUUGAGUGUUGUUUUCUUCUCACUUUUUGUCCGAUUUCUCUCUGUAUUUUUUAGUGUGGUCUUUCUCUCUCUGUACUUUUUAUCUCUGUUUGAUUUGUCUGAUACAGUAUCUGAGGAUGUGAAAAAGUACGUUCGUUUCCUGGGGUUGGGGAGUCCUUAAAUAGAAGGAUUUUGGGGGGAGUAGUUUAGGUAGUUUAGGAUUUAAAUUUUAAUUUUUUUUUAUAUAUAUAGGAUAAUGAUCUCAUUUUUUAAUAAAUAAAUAAAUUAUAUAAAAAUUAAAUAAUAAUAAUAAUAAAAUUAUAUAAAAAAAUAAAUAAUAUUAAUAAUAAAAAAAUAUUAACUAAUUAAUUUUUAUACUUAAGAAACAUAGAAUAAAAAUAUUACUAAUUUAAAAUAAAAAUAUAAUUAAGAGAAAAUAAAAUUACUAGCUUAUUUAUAAAAAUCUAAAUUAAAAGAAAAUAUUUUUUGAAAUUUUUUUUGUAUUAUUUUAAAAAAAAAAUCUUAAAAUGUAACUUUACUUUUUGAUUUUUUAAAAAAUGAAAUCUACUAAAAAAAAUUAAAUAAGAACUAAAGAUAAUAUUUUGACAUAAAUAAAUAUUUAAUGUCAGAAAAAAAGUCAGUCAAAACUCGGGAGUGUAAAAAAUCACGUGUCUACACCCCCCAAGGAAGCAGUAAGUCCAAUUCUAAUCUAGUUUUUGUUUUAAUUAAUGAUUAAAUGAUUUCAUCAUCAUUCUUAAUAUAUGUAACGAUUUAUAUUAGAUUGUCCAUCCGUGUCUUGUUUCGACCAACCGAGAGUUGAAGAUGCCAUUUUUUCUUACUUUACUGUCUGUGCAAACUUUAUCGGACCCUAAGGUCGUUGAUGGAAUAAAAAUGGAAUUGUUUUGAGCAACAACCAUCACAAGAAAGACAAUUUUGGAGGGUGGGGCUAAUGAUGCUCCUCUUACGGUUUUUUAAACAACAAGCCAUUAUGAUUAUGAUGAUAAUGGUUGUACAGAUUUUUCUCCAUAUUUUGCCGCAUCUAGCGAAUGUUCUUCAUGCAAAUGUCAAGAAUGUAAGGCAAAACACGAUAGAGUGAUUAAUGCUAUUAAUACACCUACUUCUUCUGUAAAGAAAAUAACAUCUAAGAGGGGUGUCAUUCCAUCAAAGAGGAUUUCAUAUCCAGACACUCCACUAGAGAUCAAGGCGACUAAGAGAAGAAGGAAAGACACUUCCAAGGCAUCAUCAAUCAUUAAAAAAAGCAAGAUUGCAAUGCCUCUGUUUUUAUCUUGCACCGAUGUUCAGUAUGCAAGGGUCACAGAAGAGCAGCAUGAGCUGAAGAAGGUGAAUGUACAUCAUUUGUUCCAAAAAAAUAAACAGGCACAUAUCUAUUUCAACAGAUGAUACAUCUGCUGAAAAUUAUCAAACAGAUAUAUACAUCUGUUACAAUUGUUGUCUAACCUGUUGCAUCAGAUUUGUUAUCUAUUUCAACAGAUGAGUCUUAUGUUGCAAAAGAUGGGUCAUCUGUUUGAAAUUAUAUACUGCUCUGAUUUACCUAUUCGAAUUUGUCCCAACAGAUAAUCCAUUUGAUGCAACAUAAGACUCAUCUGUUGCAACAGAUGAAAAAUCUGUUGUAUGUCUCUACUUAGCAUUGACAAUUCUGGCUUUCCAGAUGGAUGUCACAGCUACUGCCGAAAAGCAUAAUAUCACAGUUGAUAACCCAUCAAUUGCUUCCAAAGAUGAAGAAAAAGUGGAGCCUGUCAGUUUGGGAGAACGGAAGAAUUACCCAGUUUGGGAGAACGGAAGAAUUACCCGUUUGAAGGGUUCAACAUCUUGAAUGAGGCUCCAAAAAAACUAACACAGUUGAUCAACGACUAUUUAGAAUGGAUUGCCGAUGGGUUGUUAAAGCAUCAUGCCAGCAAGUACAUAAAUCAAUUUUAUGGAUAUUGGUUUAUAUAAUUCUUGUUGUAAGAACUUGACAUUAACGCAAAUAAAUCAUCAUGUAGAAAAUAAAAUAACGAGCGCUACAAAGUGAACGAAUCGAGUCUUGGUUUUGAUAUGGUCGACUUUGUUGUUGCACAUCCCGGAAUGAAGAAUUGGUUCUAUUUGAUGUCACAGCUCCAAACUUACCGGAAUGAUGAGGUUUAAAUGCCAUUCAUAUUACUAUUAAUUAAUACUUUAUUUAAUUGCAUCUGCGUAUUGAGUUUUUCAUCACGUAAUCUGAAAUGUUUGAUAAUAUGUGCAACACAUCGAUGUCAUUUUUACCAUAUCCAGAAAAAGGCCAAGUUACAAAUACAAGAACAAUACAGAUACACAAUAGGCAAUUUUUUGUACAAAGUUUACAUCAAUAAUGCCUACGAUAGGUAUUGUCAACAACAGCCAGAAGUUUUCCAUAACGAGGAAUUCUUAAUCAACAUCAUCAAAGGUUUUAGCAUUCCGGCUGGCUUACCUUGGCAUUUGGUCGACGAAUUGUUCAUCCCAAUCAAUUGUGGUGAUGAAUUCCAUUGCAUGUUGGCUGUCGUCGUUCUAAAAGAGAGUCACAUCCGAGUUUAUGACUCGAUGUCGCGAAGGAGACGUUCCGGGCCGUCGUCUGAGAUACAAAAUCUGGCCAAAAUAUUACUUACUUACCUUGAUAUGAGUGGCUUUUUGGACCAAAAGGUUCGUACUGAUUGAUUGAUGAUUGAAGCAUACCGGGAUAAAAUGGCUAAUCCUUUUGAUGUACAAUAUGAUGACGGAAUUAAUCAACAAACCAUUGGUACCCUAUAAGUUUAAGUGUCAUGAUUUAGUUUCAUUUCACAAAUUUCACAACACUUGCAUGAACUGCAAGAUAUGGAUUAUCUAUUUUUUUAUAACGCAGGGAUUGCGAUCCUUUUGUUGCCGCCUAUGCCGAGUAUUUGAGCGAUGGAUUACAAGUACUAAAUGAUGGACUUGAUGCCGGAUUACUCCACAAAAGAUAUGCUGCUCUUUUAUGGAAAUACGGAAAAACGAAAGCUUAGAAGCCAUACGCAACCGACGUUAAAGAUCCAGGACGACCAAAGCCGAAUUUCGUAGCACCGGAUGAAGAAAAACUUCUCCAUAUUGAUUUGAUAUUUAUAGCUUGAGUCCGUCAAUGUAAUAACCUAUCCUCCUUGAUUUAACUUGUUGAUUUAUUUGUAGAGUAGAUCAUUUGUACC
rnacentral:lncRNA from 1 species